rnacentral:rRNA from 1 species
UACGAAGGGGGCUAGCGUUGCUCGGAAUCACUGGGCGUAAAGCGCACGUAGGCGGCUUUUUAAGUCAGGGGUGAAAUCCUGGAGCUCAACUCCAGAACUGCCUUUGAUACUGAGAAGCUUGAGUCCGGGAGAGGUGAGUGGAACUGCGAGUGUAGAGGUGAAAUUCGUAGAUAUUCGCAAGAACACCAGUGGCGAAGGCGGCUCACUGGCCCGGUACUGACGCUGA